rnacentral:lncRNA from 1 species
ACCACCCAUAGCUGCAGAUUCAGGACCUGUCUCCCCUUCCCCCAGCCUGUCUCUCUUCCUGAGGUCUCUCGCCUAAGACAGCUGCUGUCCACCUUGGGCAUUUAUCAGGCUCGCCUGGGAACUUGGUGAAGACCCAGAUCCCUGCCACCCAUCCUACUCACUGAGCCUGGGCCUCUGCAAUGAGUCAGAGCCCCUGCCUUCGCAUACUGGUUUAGCUACUUUAACAGAGACCAAAAUAACACUGGCUUUAAAAGGCAGAAGGUUCCUUUCUCUUGUGGAAAAGACAAGCUGUUCAGCUGUCCAAGUGGGUAGGGCAGCGUGUGCAUGAGCUGGUCCCACGUAGGGUGAUCAGCAGUCCCAGUUUGCCCCAGACUCAGAAGAUUCCAAGAACGUUUCAGUGCCAAAUCUGGAAACACGCAGGCACACCUGGACAGGUGGGUCGGCCUCAUGCAGGGAUGCUUUGCCCUGCCCCGGCGUGGCCCUCCAGCAGCACAGCCGGCAUGUCUCAGCACUACAGUGCCCCAGUUCCACCCAGAAGUUGCAUCUGCCUCUGUUCACACUCCCCUGUGUAGAGGUGGCAUGUGUCUCCACCAGCAGCCCAGGAGCCCCACGUGCCCAGCUUCCCUUCAGGAAUUCCAUGGCUGAAGGAAUGGACCCCGAGGAGCCAUCCUCCACCUGGGUCAGGGGCAGAGGCUGGAGAGGCCGGAGUGGAGGGGCUGGGGUGCCAGGAAGCACAGGUCUAGUCUCAGCAAAGUAGGGGCCUGUCCACCUGGUGUCCCCAGGGACCAAGCAGUCUCUUCAAUCCCUCAACCCUCCCACCUUGCCCAUUCUCCUGGCCAGGUCCCCAGGGCCAGCCUACAGGCUCCAGCGGGAAUGAGUGGCAGCCAGCCAAGGGAGCAGUGU